UGGAAGGGAUUAAAGGAACACAAUGAAUUCAUCUUCAGGUUUUAUGUGUUACAGCCCUGCAAACACGUCCAUCUCUCCAGCAAUAUGACAAAAGCAGUAUUUGCACAUCUGCAGGGCUAGUGAUUUGUGUGAAUAUAUUUGGAGCAUUUCUUAGGUAACCUGAGCCCCGUCUGCCCGGCAUGGAGCCUGCUAGUUCCAGGUGCCUGAGAUUAGUUUAUUAGUAGAGGCAAGCAAUUAGGGCCUCUGCUGGAGCUAGUGGAGGGCCAUCCAUCCCCUUCCACAGAAAUGAGCUCUGGCCGUCAGUAGUUAUUUUGAGGAGGAAUUUUAGAAUCAGUAUCUAAAGAGAAGAUGAGCCUUUGAGGAGCAUGGGAGAAGUGUAGCUAUUAACAUGCUGGAAACAAAGGACAGGGACCUGUUGGAAUGUAUCCAGAGGAGGGCUGCCAAGAUGAUCAGAGGGCUGAAGCACCUCUCCUAUGAGUAAGGCUGAGACAAUUGGGAUUGUUUAGCCUGGAAAAGAGAUGGCUUCAGGAUGAGUUAACUGCAGGCUUCCGGUAACUGGAAGAAGCCUACAAGAAAGAUGGAGAGGGACUAUUCACAAGAGCAUGAAAGAACAACGGGGGAUGGCUUCAAAAUGAAAAAAAAACGGAUAGCUGCUUGGUAUUUGGGAAUAUUAUCUCUUUGUUUUAAAGGCCAACUGAAAUAGUGGUGUCUCAAUUCACAUUUUGGGGAAGGCAGCCCUGAAGAUCAACUCCAUUGCUGGUGAAGUCCCUUAAAGCACCUCCCUAACUCUGGUCUGAGGGCAGCUUGGGAGGACAUCCAUAUGCUGGAAAUUGUCUUGGAGUUAGUGGCUGAGCAGGAAGACCAGAAGCAGUGGGGAAGAGGCAGAUGAGCCAGCUGGGAUGCACAAAUACAGCAUCCUGAGAGCUAUCUGGGUGCAGUCCACAAGCAGAGACCUUCCAGUAACUCAAAAGGAAGGACCUGACAGUCAGUGAAGAAAGCAACCUCCUCCAAUCAUAAGUUAUAAAACAUCCGGCUCUGUUUUGGAUUAUUUACACACAUGUAAGUCUAGAUAAACUAGAGAGGAACCAAGAAAUUUAUUGUGGGUUUUCACUGGGAUAUCUGAGAGAAGGAUUUGUCACUUCAAUAACUGCAUCCUAAAGCAUUGCCCACAAAGGAGUGAGACAGAAUUCUUGCAGCCACACAACACACAUAAAAAUAUAUAUACUGAAAAAUAUUGCACCAAAUAAAUAGCUACAACUUUAACUGUAUCUAGUGAAACCCAGGAGAACAGAGUGGAGGAAUCCUGAGAACCAGUCAAAACAAAAUGUUAAUUCUAAUUGUUGUAUUUAGUUGGCCUUGUGUUGUGACAAGUUUGUUAUUAUGCAGAUUUCCUACCUGCCACCUUCUAUGGGAGGAUUUUACCAAGUGAAGUUAUGCAGACAAUUCCCCUUGCUUCUUACCUCUUUAUUCGUAAUUAUGUUGGCCCUGUGUUCACUCAAGAUAACAUUAUAGCUGUCCCCAAAUGCUCUCCAUUUGGGGUCUGUGACAAAUGAAAUCUUUCAGUGCCUGGAAUAUUUUUUUUCCCUCUCUUGCAGAAGUGUAGCUAUUAACAUGCUGAAAACAAAGCUGUGCUUGUUUAUUGUCUGACAGUGGGUUACUAGGUGUUACGAAUUUUCACUGAUAUAAUUUUGUAAAUGUUCUCUUCUUUCUUCAGACAGAUUUAUAAUGUAAUGUAUUGUCCUUAAGGUUUUUUUUGUAGUUUUUGGUUUUGCUAGGAAUGUUAUUUUUCCUGCUUAGUAAUAAAUUUUAUGUAUAUGAUGCAUAUAUAAAUAUACCUUGCAUGAUACUAUCCUAUUAAGAGUUAUAAUGAAAAUAAUCUGUAAUUCAUCUGCUACAUAGACAGUAUUCUUGUGUGGAGAAGCUAAGGUGUAGACAUUACAGAUCCAAAGUGCACAAGGAUUGGAAAUCCUGAUUUUUAAGUCCUUUCUUUAACUACUGGAUCAGUAAUAGUUGCAUUGUAUCAAUAAUAUUCUCCAUUUCUGACUUUUCAUCUGGUUUAAUUGUGAAAUAAUGCAGCACUGUGGCUUUCUGUGUUUCUUGUUACAACUGACAGCCAUGGAGGUAUGGUCAGAAGCUGUUUUGGUUUGAUGGUGCUGGAUUUGACAAAGGGUAGGAGAAAGAGGUUAGAGCAAUUGACACUGUACAAUAGCACAGCUUUUAGGUACUGCUCAGACAAACUAAAGCAUCCCUACUCUAAAUCUUUAAGCUGGGUACAAAAGGGCUCUGAGCAGACUGGGUGAGGAGAGGAAGCUGAUCACCCCUAUCACCCAUAAGGAAAGAGCUCAUGGAACGUCACAGCUUCUGUGUCUUUGGGGCCAUUGUGGUCCUUAGUCUUGCUGGGAACAUCCAGUCCAUUUUCUUAUCAACCUCUGGAAGCAUUAAACCUACUCAGAGAAACCAGGAGGAAAGGCAGCCACAUAACAUGGGUGCACACAUCAUGAUGUGCAUGCACAUCAUGCCACAGCCAACCUCUGGGGUCCCUGUGAGUCCCAAGAGAUGUGCUGACAGCACUCCAAGCAAGGUAGUGCCAAAGCACUCCAAAUAGCUGGCACCCCACAUCCAUGCCAUUGUAUUCAGAAUGGCCUGGAAGCCCUGCUGGCCACAAAGCACCUUCUGAAAAAGAAUGGAUGCUGUGAAUAUAUCUCAGACAAAUAUAUCUCAGAAAUAUAUCUCAGACCCUUGGCAGAGCUGCGAAGGUGGGCUGAAAGCUUUGAGGCAGGGCUCAAGGCACUGGGUGCUGCCAGCCCAGCAGUUCGUUGUCUCUACAAGACAAGGCAUGUUUGAAGGUUUCUUCACAGAAACCACAGGGGUUAAA